GUAUCUAUUUUUUUUAAGCAUUUUGUUAUUUUUUACUGUCAGCAGACAGGCCACUGAACUCAGCAGCAGGCCAGGCUUGUGUUUCUGGUCAUGGCGGCGAGAUAGUACGAUACCACGGAGCGGUCAAUAACCAAUGUGCUGGUUCUCUUUCUAUUGCUACGUUCACAUCAAUGCAGGAUAGACGCUAGGCAGAAACACACCUUCUGGCAGGCGCAGGGAACACAAACCAACGACGGCAUGGCAGUACGGCAGGACAGAACACGCGUGAACGAUAUGUUGCUAUGGCGAUGUCGUGUGGUUCACAAAGAGCGGAUUAAAAAAACAUACCCAAAUGGAAUGAUCAUAUCAAUCCGGGUGUUUUCGCACCAAAAUGAUCCUCCAUGUUUCGUCCUGGGGGGGAGAGAGUAGCGUUGGGAGUGCCUCAGUAGGAGUGAGUGAUGAACAACAGAAAUCCACUAGUUCAGAGCAACCGGCAGGACAUGAGAUAAGGAGUACCUUCAACGCACGCACACACACACACACACACACACACACACACACACACAAACAGACAGAGCUUUUCCCACCAUGGAAGCAAGUGGAAGAAAACGACGAGGGAAAAGAGUCUGAGCUUCUCUGCAGCGUUGUUUUUUUCCAUGGGGACCCAGCCCACUGGCUGUGAAAGAUCAACAGACUUUUCAUCCUAGUUUCAUCUGGUAUUACUCUGAUUAUUUAUGGCCUAAUCCGGAUUUGCUCCUUUAUUUGUAAAUAUUCAUCCAUGUACUGUUCAUUUGUGAGUUCUCGAUACAAGGGGAGGGGGGGAAAGACGUAUAUUGUAUUUAUAAGCAUCAAGAACACAAAUGUAAAAUAAUGGUUCCUUAUUAUUAUUAUUAUUAUUAUUACUAUGAAAGAAAUAUCAUGUCGUCUUGAAUGUGCCAACUGCUCUCUCUCUCUCUCUCUCUCUCU
ensembl:lncRNA